rnacentral:rRNA from 1 species
UGCAGUCGAGCGGACAGAUGGGAGCUUGCUCCCUGAUGUUAGCGGCGGACGGGUGAGUAACACGUGGGUAACCUGCCUGUAAGACUGGGAUAACUCCGGGAAACCGGGGCUAAUACCGGAUGGUUGUUUGAACCGCAUGGUUCAAACAUAAAAGGUGGCUUCGGCUACCACUUACAGAUGGACCCGCGGCGCAUUAGCUAGUUGGUGAGGUAAUGGCUCACCAAGGCAACGAUGCGUAGCCGACCUGAGAGGGUGAUCGGCCACACUGGGACUGAGACACGGCCCAGACUCAUACGGGAGGCAGCAGUAGGGAAUCUUCCGCAAUGGACGAAAGUCUGACGGAGCAACGCCGCGUGAGUGAUGAAGGUUUUCGGAUCGUAAAGCUCUGUUGUUAGGGAAGAACAAGUACCGUUCGAAUAGGGCGGUACCUUGACGGUACCUAACCAGAAAGCCACGGCUAACUACGUGCCAGCAGCCGCGGUAAUACGUAGGUGGCAAGCGUUGUCCGGAAUUAUUGGGCGUAAAGGGCUCGCAGGCGGUUUCUUAAGUCUGAUGUGAAAGCCCCCGGCUCAACCGGGGAGGGUCAUUGGAAACUGGGGAACUUGAGUGCAGAAGAGGAGAGUGCAAUUCCACGUGUAGCGGGUGAAAUGCGUAGAGAUGUGGAGGAACACCAGUGGCGAAGGCGACUCUCUGGUCUGUAACUGACGCUGAGGAGCGAAAGCGUGGGGAGCGAACAGGAUUAGAUACCCUGGUAGUCCACGCCGUAAACGAUGAGUGCUAAGUGUUAGGGGGUUUCCGCCCCUUAGUGCUGCAGCUAACGCAUUAAGCACUCCGCCUGGGGAGUACGGUCGCAAGACUGAAACUCAAAGGAAUUGACGGGGGCCCGCACAAGCGGUGGAGCAUGUGGUUUAAUUCGAAGCAACGCGAAGAACCUUACCAGGUCUUGACAUCCUCUGACAAUCCUAGAGAUAGGACGUCCCCUUCGGGGGCAGAGUGACAGGUGGUGCAUGGUUGUCGUCAGCUCGUGUCGUGAGAUGUUGGGUUAAGUCCCGCAACGAGCGCAACCCUUGAUCUUAGUUGCCAGCAUUCAGUUGGGCACUCUAAGGUGACUGCCGGUGACAAACCGGAGGAAGGUGGGGAUGACGUCAAAUCAUCAUGCCCCUUAUGACCUGGGCUACACACGUGCUACAAUGGACAGAACAAAGGGCAGCGAAACCGCGAGGUUAAGCCAAUCCCACAAAUCUGUUCUCAGUUCGGAUCGCAGUCUGCAACUCGACUGCGUGAAGCUGGAAUCGCUAGUAAUCGCGGAUCAGCAUGCCGCGGUGAAUACGUUCCCGGGCCUUGUACACACCGCCCGUCACACCACGAGAGUUUGUAACACCCGAAGUCGGUGAGGUAACC